rnacentral:rRNA from 1 species
AUACGGGGGAUGCAAGCGUUGUCCGGAAUCAUUGGGCGUAAAGGGUUCGUAGGUGGAAUUAUAAGUCUGGUGUGAAAGCCCACAGCUCAACUGUGGAACUGCACUGGAUACUGUUUUUCUUGAGUUAUAGAGGGGUUUGUGGAAUUUCUGGUGUAGAGGUGAAAUUUGUAGAGAUCAGAAAGAACACCGGUGGCGAAGGCGACAAACUGGCUAUUAACUGACACUGAGGAACGAAAGCGUGGGGAGCGAACAGGAUUAGAACCCCCAGUAGUCC